GAAUUUUGGGUAAUGGGCGAAAGCCUGACCCAGCAACGCCGCGUGAAGGAUGAAAUCCCUCGGGAUGUAAACUUCGCAAGAACGGGAAGAAUAAGUAAGAGUUAAUAUCUCUUACGAUGACGGUACUGUUUGUAAGCUCCGGCUAACUCCGUGCCAGCCGCCGCGGUAAUACGUAGGGAGCAAGCGUUGUUCGGAUUUACUGGGCGUAAAGGGCGCGUAGGCGGCGUGUUAAGUCAGCUGUGAAAUCUCCAAGCUUAACUUGGAACGGCCAGCUGAUACUGACGUGCUAGAGUGCAGAAAGGGCAAUCGGAAUUCUUGGUGUAGCGGUGAAAUGCGUAGAUAUCAAGAGGAACACCUGAGGCGAAGGCGGGUUGCUAGGCUGACACUGACGCUGAGGCGCGAAAGCCAGGGGAGCAAACGGG
rnacentral:rRNA from 1 species